AAUCCUGGCUCAGGACGAACGCUGGCGGCGUGCCUAACACAUGCAAGUCGAACGGGGUACCCCUGAAUGAGGCUUCGGCCGAAUGACGGGACUACCUAGUGGCGGACGGGCGAGUAACGCGUGAGCAACCUGCCUUUCAGAGGGGGAUAACGUUCUGAAAAGAACGCUAAUACCGCAUAACGCAGCGCUGUGGCAUCACAGUGUUGCCAAGGAGCAAUCCGCUGAAAGAUGGGCUCGCGUCCAA
rnacentral:rRNA from 1 species